rnacentral:rRNA from 1 species
GCUGACGGCCAUGCUACCCUGAACAAGCCUGAUCCCGUCUGAUCUUGGAAGCUAAGCAGGGUUGAGCCUGGUUAGUACUUGGAUGGGAGACCACGUAGGAAGACCAGAUGCUGUAGGUG